rnacentral:rRNA from 1 species
UCUUGCUAAUACCGGAUACGAUCACAUAGCGUAUGUUAUGUGUUGAAAGAUAGCCUCUGCUUGCAAGCUAUCAGUCGAAGAGGGCCUUGCGGCCUAUUAGCUAGUUGGUGAGGUAACGGCCCACCAAGGCAACAAUGGGUAGCCGACCUGAGAGGGUGACCGGCCACACUGGAACUGAGACACGGUCCAGACUCCUACGGGAGGCAGCAGUGGGGAAUCUUGCGCAAUGGGGGCAACCCUGACGCAGCAACGCCGCGUGGGUGAUGAAGGUCUUCGGAUUGUAAAACCCUGUCAAGGGGGAAGAAAUGCAUGGGAUUUAAUAGAUCUUGUGUUUGACGGUACCCCUAGAGGAAGCCCCGGCUAACUCCGUGCCAGCAGCCGCGGUAAUACGGAGGGGGGCAAGCGUUGUUCGGAAUUACUGGGCGUAAAGCGCACGUAGGCGGUCUUGUAAGUCGAGUGUGAAAUCCCUCAGCUUAACUGAGGAACUGCGCUUGAAACUGCUUGACUUGAGUACAGGAGAGGAGAGUGGAAUUCCCAAUGUAGCGGUGGAAUGCGUAGAUAUUGGGAGGAACACCGGUGGCGAAGGCGUCUCUCUGGACUGAUACUGACGCUGAGGUGCGAAAGCUAGGGGAGCAAACGGGAUUAGAUACCCCGGUAGUCCUAGCCGUAAACGAUGGGCACUAGGUGUGGGAGGCCAUUGGUCCCUUCCGUGCCGUAGCAAACGCAUUAAGUGCCCCGCCUGUGGAGUACGUUCGCAAGAAUGAAACUCAAAGGAAUUGACGGGGACCCGCACAAGCGGUGGAGCACGUGGUUCAAUUCGACGCAACGCGAAGAACCUUACCGGGGUUUGAAAUCUGCAUGACAAUGCCAGAAACGGUACUUCCCUUCGGGGACAUGUAGACAGCUGCUGCAUGGCUGUCGUCAGCUCGUGUCGUGAGAUGUUAGGUUAAGUCCUGCAACGAGCGCAACCCCUACCCUUAUUUGCCAACAGGUCAAGCUGGGAACCAUAAGGGAACUGCCGGUUUUAAGCCGGAGGAAGGUGGGGAUGAGGUCAAGUCAUCAUGGCCCUUAUGUCCCGGGCUACACACAUGCUACAAUGGUCUAUACAAAGAGUCGCGAUACCGCGAGGUGGAGCCAAUCUCAAAAAGUAGACCUAAGUUCAGAUUGGAGUCUGCAACUCGACUCCAUGAAGCCGGAAUCGCUAGUAAUCGUGGAUCAGCACGCCACGGUGAAUACGUUCCCGGGUCUUGUACACACCGCCCGUCACACCACGAAAGUUGAUUGUACUAGAA